UACGUAGGGUGCAAGCGUUGUCCGGAAUUAUUGGGCGUAAAGAGCUCGUAGGCGGUUUGUUGCGUCGGCUGUGAAAUCCCGAGGCUCAACCUCGGGCCUGCAGUCGAUACGAGCAAACUAGAGUGUUGCAGGGGAGACUGGAAUUCCUGGUGUAGCGGUGAAAUGCGCAGAUAUCAGGAAGAACACCCGUGGCGAAGGCGGCUCUCUGGGACGGUACUGACGCUGAGACGCGAAAGCGUGGGGAGCGAACAGG
rnacentral:rRNA from 1 species